rnacentral:lncRNA from 1 species
CAACAAACUGGGGUGAGCCAGUUUCAAAUUACAAUUUAGCUACAAAAACAUUCACAUUUUAUACUCUAGGAGAGUGUAACAUAGAUGCUAUUUACAAACUUGCUAUGACUGCUACAUCAAGCCAUUUAAAAAGUCUUUAGUAGUUUCAUAUAAACACCCAUUAUGAAAACCAAUGGAAAACCCAGGACCGUUUACCCCAGACAUCUACCGUUGCUAAGGCAGUUACUAGAGCCGCAGCACUUCACAGCAAAACCAACAGAAAUCAGAAUGGUCCACACUUCCUUCUGGGAAGAGGAACAAUGUCCAUAAAAGAUUAAAAAAAUAAUAAAGAAGCAUGACUAUUUCUUCCAGCGUGGGUGACCCACAAGCUCACAUGGUCCUAAGUGCUUAGUAACUUGUAUUUUCUAAUCAAAUGAAGAACUGCUUUGAGUGCGCAAAGCAAUCCAUGGUGAAAAGAUUUCCCUGAACUCCUCAGUGGAAAGAAGAGGUGUCGAGAUUUUCAGAACUUGAAGGUAUGAAUUCAUUGCUGAAGAUAACACACACCUCUGGGACGCAGGACUUGAGGGAAGUCACCUGGAACUGACUGAAGGUCCCUCUGCAUGGAAGAGCUUCCAGAGAUCUGGAUGACAUCUUCUUUAGGGAAAAGGGAAAGCUAGUAUCUGCAGAGACAUUUGGACCUAUGGUGGGACUUCCUUGGAAAACGUGCAAGAUGUACAAAGGCUUUCCUAAGGAAACCUCUUUGGAUACAGCAUUAGUAAGCACCUGUAAUAGCACUGCAGCUAAAGCGAAAUGGGCAGAGACAGGACGAUCCGAGAUGCUCACAGGACUAGACAGCCCAGCAUAUGCAUCAGUGAACAGGAGGGUCUGUCUCCAACAAGCACCUUCCAGUGAGCCUGACAUAGAGAAGGGUCUGGCAGGCCGGGGCUGGUGCCUGGAGGAGAAACCAUGCUCAGUGCAGUAGCAGAUUAUGUCAUGACCACAAAUGAGGGGGGGCCUAUCAGCCCAGGAAUGCAGGAGAAACACAGGCACUGAACAGAACAGAACAGAACCUGCCUAAGUGAAGACUUCUGGAGAUGUGACAUGAAGGGGCUGGCAAGGACCCAAGAAAGCAGAUGUUUGAAAGAAGAAUGAAGAUAGACUGUUGGAAGAAUGAACACUGUAACAUUUUGCAUUUUUUCAGAACGUGUACAAGAGGGUUUGAGUGUGGGAGUAUUGGCAGCAUUGAUGAAGGCUUUCUGAAAAUCAUUACCCAGAAUAAGAUGUUCCCAUUUGUACAUAAGACAGGCAUUCAACAGUACAGUAAUACUCUAAUAUGUGUGGUUCAUG